rnacentral:rRNA from 1 species
GAUGAACGCUGGCGGCGUGCCUAAUACAUGCAAGUCGAGCGAACAGACGAGGAGCUUGCUCCUCUGACGUUAGCGGCGGACGGGUGAGUAACACGUGGAUAACCUACCUAUAAGACUGGGGUAACUUCGGGAAACCGGAGCUAAUACCGGAUAAUAUAUUGAACCGCAUGGUUCAAUAGUGAAAGACGGUUUUGCUGUCACUUAUAGAUGGAUCCGCGCCGCAUUAGCUAGUUGGUAAGGUAACGGCUUACCAAGGCAACGAUGCGUAGCCGACCUGAGAGGGUGAUCGGCCACACUGGAACUGAGACACGGUCCAGACUCCUACGGGAGGCAGCAGUAGGGAAUCUUCCGCAAUGGGCGAAAGCCUGACGGAGCAACGCCGCGUGAGUGAUGAGGGUCUUCGGAUCGUAAAACUCUGUUAUUAGGGAAGAACAAAUGUGUAAGUAACUAUGCGCGUCUUGACGGUACCUAAUCAGAAAGCCACGGCUAACUACGUG